rnacentral:rRNA from 1 species
GACGAACGCUGGCGGCGUGCCUCAUACAUGCAAGUCGAGCGGACUGACUUCGGUCAGUCAGCGGCGGACGGGUGAGUAACGCGUGGGCAACCUGCCCUAAAGUCUGGGAUAACAUCCUGAAAGGGAUGCUAAUACCGGAUGUGGUCUUUCUAUCGCAUGGUAGGGAGAAGAAAGGCUUCGGCCGCUUUAGGAUGGACCCGCGACCCAUUAGCUAGUUGGUAAGGUAAAGGCUUACCAAGGCGACGAUGGGUAGCCGACCUGAGAGGGUGACCGGCCACACUGGGACUGAGACACGGCCCAGACUCCUACGGGAGGCAGCAGUCGGGAAUAUUGGGCAAUGGGGGGAACCCUGACCCAGCAACGCCGCGUGAGUGAAGAAGGCCUUCGGGUCGUAAAGCUCUGUCCUUGGGGACGAAGGAUGACGGUACCCAAGAAGAAAGCCACGGCUAACUACGUGCCAGCAGCCCGCGGUAAUACGUAGGUGGCGAGCGUUGUCCGGAAUUACUGGGCGUAAAGGGCGAGUAGGCGGUAACACAAGUCAGAUGUGAAAGGCGAGGGCUCAACUCUCGGAUUGCAUUUGAAACUGUGUAACUUGAGUGCGG